rnacentral:misc_RNA from 1 species
UUUUUAAUUAUAUUUUUGCGCGUGGCGACGAACGAAACGCAUGUGCGCGGCAUAUAUUAACCCCGUUUGCUUAGUUUCCACGUGUGCGGGGCGUUUAAGACCGCCGCUCAUUAUUCACGCGCCUCGCGACGGCGUUAAGGCGCGGCAAGCGCGUUCCGGAAGGGGUCAAAACGGUGGUAAAUACGUGGUGGUGCGGCAGAGAGGGAGGGGUGGAAACCGUGGUAAACUCGUCUCCGUAGUCUAGCGGGAGUGGCCAAAAGAAUGUACAAACGUCUUUGUAGUGGAGCUGGGAGGGGCAGGCAUAAGGGACGAAGGCGGGGGAAACAUGUC